UACGAAGGGGGCUAGCGUUGCUCGGAAUUACUGGGCGUAAAGGGCGCGUAGGCGGACAGUUUAGUCAGAGGUGAAAGCCCAGGGCUCAACCUUGGAAUUGCCUUUGGUACUGGCUGUCUUGAGUUCGGGAGAGGUGAGUGGAACUGCGAGUGUAGAGGUGAAAUUCGUAGAUAUUCGCAAGAACACCAGUGGCGAAGGCGGCUCACUGGACCGGUUCUGACGCUGAGGCGCGAAAGCGUGGGGAGCAAACGGG
rnacentral:rRNA from 1 species